rnacentral:rRNA from 1 species
UACGGAGGGGGCUAGCGUUGUUCGGAAUUACUGGGCGUAAAGCGCAUGUAGGCGGCUUUGCAAGUUAGAGGUGAAAGCCCGGGGCUCAACUCCGGAACUGCCUUUAAAACUGCAUCGCUAGAAUUGUGGAGAGGUAAGUGGAAUUCCGAGUGUAGAGGUGAAAUUCGUAGAUAUUCGGAAGAACACCAGUGGCGAAGGCGACUUACUGGACACAUAUUGACGCUGAGGUGCGAAAGCGUGGGGAGCAAACAGG